rfam:Eubacterium sp. 14-2 genomic scaffold acPFD-supercont1.2, whole genome shotgun sequence.
ACUUGACAAUCAUAUUGACCGAAGACAGCAGGUGCCGGAAGGCGUAACCAUGUGACCUGCCGAGGAAAUUUACAGGUACUUUGUACCGGUAAUGUAUGAAAGAUAAUUUCAGCCUCUCUGUCUCGGACAGGGAGGUUUUUGUUAUUCAACA